rnacentral:tRNA from 1 species
GUGGGUUGUGGCUCAAUGGUAGAGCACUUGCUUAGCAUGUGCGAGGCACUGGGUUCGAUUCUCAGCACCACA